CGAGAGGCCCGGGUCCUUAGUGCCGGGUGGACGCUCGCCCGGGUUGCGGUGCGGAGCGUGCCCCUCGGGUUCCCGUCCUGUCCCCGUUUGUCAGAACGCGCGUCUCCAGGCCGCUCCGCGGACACGCAGAGCACCCGCCGCCCGCGCUCUGCGCCGCGUACGUCACGCGGGGUCUCCUGGGAGCCUCCAGCUCCGCCCCCUGGCCGGGAGCUGCGAACUACAGCUCCCGGCAGGCUUUGCGGCGCCCCGGGAUCCGAGAGGGGGUCGCGGCGGGCGGGCAGCCGGUGGGCUUGUGCAGGCGGGGCGCCCUGGCCUGGCGCAGCCAAGAGGCCGAGGGCGGCUGCACGCGCCGGGGCGGCCGGUCGAUCCCCUGCUGUCUGCUUCGGCCCUGCUCGGGCUCCCCGAGUCCCCGGGCCGAGCCGGCGCUCAGAAACUCCGGCCACAGGGUUGGAUCGCGUGGGGCUCCCGCGGAAGCUCAGCACGGCGGAGGCCAGGUCUGAGUCUCCAGGCAUCAGGACUGCAGCCUGAGUCUCAAGGUGGUAGGGUGUCAGUGGACCGCCAGACAGAUUUGUUUGUUGGCUGCCUGCUUGGUUUGCUGUGUUCUGUGUUGGCGAUGGCUGCUAGUUUCCCACAGGAUAUCUUGGUGGAAUUUGUAACCCAGGAAGUAGCAACUGAGUGCCUGGGAUGCUGAUUCGAGGCUGCUGUGUGCUUUGAGGUC
rnacentral:lncRNA from 1 species